rnacentral:rRNA from 1 species
UACGUAGGGCGCAAGCGUAUCCGGAAUUAUUGGGCGUAAAGAGCUCGUAGGCGGUUUGUCGCGUCUGCCGUGAAAGUCCGGGGCUCAACUCCGGAUCUGCGGUGGGUACGGGCAGACUAGAGUGAUGUAGGGGAGACUGGAAUUCCUGGUGUAGCGGUGGAAUGCGCAGAUAUCAGGAGGAACACCAAUGGCGAAGGCAGAUCUCUGGGCCGUAACUGACGCUGAGGAGCGAAAGCAUGGGGAGCGAACAGG